rnacentral:lncRNA from 1 species
AAAAAAUGCAAGGGCAUUUGUCAAAGGAGGGGUUCAUUUAACUCUUUGGACAUCUUCUGUCUUUCCUGGUCUUUGAAGGGUGCGCUGAGUGCUCCAUACUCCACCACGGGGCUGCUCGCCAGGGCUCAGCUGAAGCGAUGCCUUCUCAGAGAUGCUUUCCCUGACCAUCUGUGUUCUCAACCAUGCCACAGCUGCCACCGAGGCAUUAUCAGGGUCUGGAAGUACACAGAAACCUAGGUUUUGUCACUACGUGGCAGUCGGCAUGGAAAUCUGUCAUCUCUUCCCUCUGGAAGACCUUCGCAAAGAACGACCAUCUUGGAAGGAGCUUGGUUCUGGGCAGCCCUCUCUGGAGAAAACCAAGUCUGAAGUACAAGAGUGUAAACAACAUUACAUCCCACAGGGUCUGAGGUGACCCGAAUUAGUUCCAAAGUGAGUCUACAACAGCAGCAACAUCAUUAGUGUGUGUGUGUGUGUGUGUGUGUGUGUGUGUGUGCGUGCCCAUGUCUAAGUGUAAUUGUAGUGUAUAAUUAAUGCAGAGCUAAAAUUAAACUCCUGGGUGAAAAGAGAC